rnacentral:lncRNA from 1 species
GAACAGCUGAGAUAUUUUAUAGCCUGUCAACAACCCCUCUUCAAGAAUAACCUGAGAAAGCAGGGGGAGUUGCAAAGAAGCUUCAAGCAAGGAAAUUACCUGUCUCUGGAUCCUUCUUAUGUCAAGAAAUCAAGUUUUGAUUGUCUGUGGAGAGCAAGGCUUGAUCCACAACAGAGGAUCCUUUGAGCUGUAGUGUUUACCUUGCUGUCUCAAGCCCUAACUGCUUCAUUCUUUGUAAUUUGAUUAUUUGGUCACGCCCUGGAAUGCAAAGUAUUGCUCUGAUGUAUUUGUAUAAACCUAGGCUCUUCAAAUACUGUCCAGAGCAGCCAGACAGAAACAUCUGGGAGCCUUGCUUCUGCAGUGCCAAUAUGCAUGGAGACAGACUCAUUUACACCAACAAAAAAAUGCCUGUGCAUCUACUGACUAAUCAGAACACAAUUUGUCAAAGAAAAAAUAUUGUUUAUGCAUCAACAUUCACUUUGGAUUUUUUUUUUUAUUCUGAAGGAACCACUGUCCUUCUGGCUACCAAGGGCCUUUUGCUGGAACAAAACAAUGAAGAGAUCAGGGAGGUACCAGGAGACUGUAUUUUGGUCCUGAAAAUUAUUGGCAGUUUUUGUAAUCUUCUCAUAUCCCUUCUGCUAGGGAUUAGAAGUAGCAAGAAGGGUGGGUUUACUGGGGAAGUCUUGUAAAAUAAACAAACAUUACCAGUCUAAGCGUCCA